GCGUCCGCGUAAUUGUCCACGUUGUCCAACGUCACGCCUGAGCCGAUCAACACCGGCAGCCUCGCUGCGACGCACUCCCGUACUUCUACAAGAUUAUGGUGUUCACGUGUUUCAUCUGCAAAAAGAGAUCAAACAAAUCGCAAGAUUUGUCGUUUCAUCGAUAUUAUCGGAAAAUCGGAAGAAGUCCCAGGAAAAGCAACAACCAUUUGUUCGAGACAUUUUGACACUGAAUGUUUUUGUUAUGGACUAGUCGAAGGAAGAAGGUUUCUGAAACCAGGGAGUAAACUAACUAUAAAUCUUGGAGUGCUCCAAUAAAUAUUCCGAACACGACAGAAUUUUCUUCCAUACAAACCAGUAAUAUCUCAACCAAUGAACCAACAUUGCGAUCAAGUAUUGAAAAGUUGGCCACAUCAAAUAAGCGGAAACAAGAACCACCACUGGCUGAAAUUAUUGCUAAAAAAAAGAUUCGACUAACUGAUCUCACAUGGGAAGAACUUUUUGAGUCAUCAAUGCGAGAAAAAGCUUAUCUCGCGGUGGACACAACAACAACUCGACCGCCGAGCAGUUUGAGUCUGCAUUCAAGUGGUUAUUGGUUUAUGCGCAAAUCAAAGGCUCAGAUAAAUGCAAAUUGUCUACUUCAAGAUAGCACUUGUUUAUUACAAACUCUCAAAGUUCUUGAUAAGCCGGCUCCUAAAACUCAUGAUAAUGAUAUUGUUGACAUGCAUAAAAUCAGUAAAACUCUUAGGGUUUCUUCAAGCACUUCUUUGGAUCAUGACUAUUAUAUACCCUUAGUAUUUAUAAAUGUUAAUAAAACGUAUUAAUCACAUUAUCGCGUACAUAGCAGGUUUUAUAGCUAAGAGUCUAAGUAAGUCUGUUAAAUGUGUAAUGCGAAUUGCGGAUGUUAAAUGUGGAUUGCGUAAAAUUGCUCAAGUCUGAAAAAUGUUUCUCCGCACAGACUAAGAAAUGUCAAGGUAGAUUAAUGAAAGCUUCGGCUGAUUUAAUACAAACAUGUCUAAUAGCAGAAGAACGUUUUAGAACGCACAACGUUUUUCAAACCAAAAACAUUUUCAACGUCUUGAUAACAAGUACUCUUGAAUAUAUUCCACCCACUGUGUUUGAGAAUAAGGGAAACUGCGGAGAUGAUCACCGUUUAAAACUACUUGUUCAAAUUAUAAAAAAGUUUUUUAAAGUUCGAUUACACCACGAAGGAACAUCCAACUUAGAACAACGAGAGCAGCUUAGAAUAAGAUCAAAAUGUAACAAAACUGUUUUAUUUAAAAAUCAAUAAAACUUCUCGAAAUUAAA